UAUGGCUGUCGUCAGCUCGUGUCGUGAGAUGUCGCGUUAAGUCGCUUAACGAGCGAAACCCUUGUCUCUAGUUGCCAGCGAGUAAAGUCGGGGACUCUAGAGAGACCGCCGGUGUUAAACCGGAGGAAGGUGGGGAUGACGUCAAGUCCUCAUGGCCCUUAUGGCUAGGGCUGCACACGUCCUACAAUGGCGCGCACAAAGGGAUGCUAACUCGUGAGAGCACGCAAAUCCCAAAAAUCGUGCCCUAGUUCGGAUUGCAGGCUGCAACUCGCCUGCAUGAAGCUGGAAUCGCUAGUAAUCGCGGGUCAGCAUACCGCGGUGAAUGUGUUCCCGAGCCUUGUACACACCGCCCGUGGGGCGGGGGCGGCGGGCCGGGCGCGGGGCGCGGCGGGCG
rnacentral:rRNA from 1 species